CAAAGCUUCACCAUCUACACCCAAUAAUCCCACAACAAUCUCAAAACCCUCACCCACUAUCAAGCAAUUCUAUAUCCCUAUAGAACAUCUUAUGCUAGAACUAGUAACAAGAAGAUGAACUUCUCCACAAUACACGUGUAAAUCAGAUUGGACCACCCCCUGAUAAUUAACGCCAUGAACUUAGGGUAAUAACGACACAAGAGAAACCUACCCACCCCCCCCGUUAACCUAACACAAGAGCAUUUCUGGAAAGAUCUAAAGGAGAGGAAGGAACUCGGCAAAUUUUGGCCCCGCCUGUUUACCAAAAACAUCGCCUCUUGAAUACAUAAGAGGUCCAGCCUGCCCAGUGACUUUGUUCAACGGCCGCGGNNUU
rnacentral:rRNA from 1 species